rnacentral:lncRNA from 1 species
UUUUUUCUUAGAUAAUAACCCUUUGAAAGGGAGAUGGAAGGAGUUGAAAUACACAUCCGGAGAAUAAUAUCUAAAAGAUGAAACCCAAAGUUGAACUAAAAUAUAUCUAAAUGUUAAUACAAUAAUGCUAAAGCAGGUGCUUAUGUGCUCUACCAAUGAUGAGUGAGUUUUAUACCUACAAAUCGGGUACCGUUUAGACUUGAUUCUUUGCUAAUUUGAGUAAUUUUACUAUCGUUUUACUUGUUUUUUGUGUUUGUGUUGCAGGAAUUGGAUGAGAUCUGCAUAUUCACUGCCAGAACACCCGUCGGGGCCGGCCUUUACAAGCAUAAACACCUGUUGGGGAGGGGGUCACCUUCCAUCAAAGCUUUUGAACACUCGCCGGGGCCCCGUUCGCGAUAGUUACUGAAAGUUUCCAAGAUUGAGAAGGACUGUGUAGAUCCUUUGAUGCUUGAUUUUAGACGCAAUUUUAUAGAGUAUAACAAGCAGAACUAGAGGGGCAAAGAAGGAUAUUUAUUCAUUAUCACAAUCAACUGAACCCUAGCGUUUGACCACGAACAGGAGAAUUGAAGCAAGGAGGUUAGAACGAGGGAUUCAAGACGAACGUGGAGAAGAGCAGCAGAUUACGUCACAACUUUUAUCUUUUCUCUUCAUCUUUAAUCUUGUAUUCAGAAUGCUAUUCUAUUUGUGAAUUUUGGUUUCUUAUUCAAUCAUGUUGAACUAAUUUUCUUAUUUAAGUCUAUAAUGGAUCUUUUUGUGUAACGAAUGUAAGGAACGAG